GAUGAACGCUGGCGGCGUGCCUAAUACAUGCAAGUCGAGCGAACGGACGAGAAGCUUGCUUUUCUGAUGUUAGCGGCGGACGGGUGAGUAACACGUGGAUAACCUACCUAUAAGACUGGGAUAACUUCGGGAAACCGGAGCUAAUACCGGAUAAUAUUUUGAACCGCAUGGUUCAAAAGUGAAAGACGGUCUUGCUGUCACUUAUAGAUGGAUCCGCGCUGCAUUAGCUAGUUGGUAAGGUAACGGCUUACCAAGGCAACGAUGCAUAGCCGACCUGAGAGGGGUAUCGGGCACACUGGAGCUGGGACACGGUCCAGACUCCUACGGGAGGCAGCAGUAGGGAAUCUUCCGGAAUGGGCGAAAGCCUUACGGAGCAACGCCGCGUGGGUGAAGAAGGUCUUCGGAUCGUAAAACUCUGUUAUUAGGGAAGAACAUAUGUGUAAGUAACUGUGCACAGCUUGACGGUACCUAAUCAGAAAGCCACGGCUAACUACGUG
rnacentral:rRNA from 1 species